AAUAGUUCAAUUGGGAGAAUGUUAGACUUAAGAUCUCAAGAUGCCUGGUUCGAUCCCGGCUU
rnacentral:tRNA from 1 species